rnacentral:rRNA from 1 species
CGCGGGAUUGGCACGGGGGGACGGGGUGCAGCAGGCGCGAAACCUUUACAAUGCACGAAAGUGUGAUAAGGGAACCCUAAGUGCUUAGUUUUCGCUAGGCUUUUUUCAAGAACAAAAAUCUUGGAGAAUAAGUGGUGGGUAAGACCGGUGCCAGCAGCCGCGGUAACACCGGCGCCACGAGUGGGGAUCAUGUUUAUUGGGCCUAAAGCGUCCGUAGCCGGUUUGAUAAAUCUUUUGUGAAAUUGUCGUGCUUAACACAACAGCGUGCAAAAGACACUAUCAGACUUGGAACUGGGAGGAGUCAGAGGUAUUCUGGGGGGAGCGGUAAAAUGUUAUAAUCCUCAGAGGACCACCUGUGGCGAAGGCGUCUGACUAGAACAGCUUCGACGGUGAGGGACGAAAGCCAGGGGAGCAAAACGGAUUAGAUACCCGAGUAGUCCUGGCUGUAAACGCUGCGAGCAAGGUGUUGCAUAUCUUUCGUGGAUGUGCAGUAUCGAAACGAAGGUGUUAAGCUCGCCGCCUGGGAAGUAUAGUCGCAAGACCGAAACUAAAGGAAUUGCCGGGGGAGCACCACAAGGGGUGCGGCGUGCGGUUUAAUCUAACUCAACACAGAGAAUCUCACCAGCAGCGACGGCAGAAUGAAGGUCAGAUUGAAGGUUUUACCAGACAANCCGAGAGGUAUUGCAUGNCCGUCGUCAGCUCGUGCCGUAAGGUGUCCUGUUAAGUCAGGCAACGAGCGAGACCUGCAUCUACACUUGCUAACGAAUCUCUUAAGAUGAUCGAGCACAGUGUAGGGACUGCCUUCGAAAGGAGGAGGAAGGUGCAGGCUACGGUAGGUCUGUAUGGUCCGAAUCUGCUGGGCUACACGCGCGCAACAAUGGUAAAGACAAUGGGAUGCAACUCUGAAAAGAGAAGCUAAUCCUCGAAACUUUAUCUUAGUCCAGAUUGAGGAUUGUAACUCAUCCUCAUGACGAUGGAAUCCCUAGUAACCAGAAGUCAUCAGCUUCUAGUGAAUAUGUCCCUGCUCCUUGCACGAAUUCGCCGAAGCAAUAGU